rnacentral:lncRNA from 1 species
GGAGUAUGAGGCGGGGAGGCCGCAGAGCGCGUACGACCCGAGCUUCUCGUACUCGGAGGGGUUGGAGGGGACCAGGGUUAGGUACUCGGCGGGGAUGAUCUGGUCGGUGUCGAUGUUGUCACCAACGACGUAGCAGAGGCCGUGGAAUGUGGUGGACGGGGUUGUGGAGGCGGCUGCGCGUGUGGAGAAGGUGGCGCGUGAGAUUGGGGUUUGGGUUUGGGGGGCGUGGGUUAGGGGUUUGAUGGGGGUGGGGGAUAGGGUAGGGAAUUUGAGAAAGUUAGGGGUAGAGAGCGAGGAUCUGUGGGAGGAGGUGGUGGUGGUGAGCCUAGGGUUUGGAGAGAGGGAGAGAGAGGCGGCGCCGGCCAUCGUGG